GUGCCAGCAGCUGUGGUAAUACGGAGGGUGCAAGCGUUAAUCGGAAUUACUGGGCGUAAAGCGCACGCAGGCGGUCUGUUAAGUCAGAUGUGAAAUCCCCGGGCUUAACCUGGGAACUGCAUUUGAAACUGGCAGGCUUGAGUCUCGUAGAGGGGGUAGAAUUCCAGGUGUAGCGGUGAAAUGCGUAGAGAUCUGGAGGAAUACCGGUGGCGAAGGCGGCCCCCUGGACGAAGACUGACGCUCAGGUGCGAAAGCGUGGGAGCAAACAGGAUUAGAUACCCUGGUAAGUCCACGCCGUAACGAUGUCGACUUGGAGGUUGUUCCCUUGGAGGAUGGCUUCCGGAGCUAACGCGUUAAGUCCGACCG
rnacentral:rRNA from 1 species